rnacentral:rRNA from 1 species
UACGGAGGGGGCUAGCGUUGUUCGGAAUUACUGGGCGUAAAGCGCGCGUAGGCGGCUUUGUAAGUUAGAGGUGAAAGCCCGGAGCUCAACUCCGGAAUUGCCUUUAAGACUGCAUCGCUAGAAUCAUGGAGAGGUGAGUGGAACUGCGAGUGUAGAGGUGAAAUUCGUAGAUAUUCGCAAGAACACCAGUGGCGAAGGCGGCUCACUGGCCCGAUACUGACGCUGAGGCACGAAAGCGUGGGGAGCAAACAGG